UCUUCACUCUGGCGGCGUGCCUAAUACAUGCAAGUCGAGCGAACAGACGAGGAGCUUGCUCCUCUGACGUUAGCGGCGGACGGGUGAGUAACACGUGGAUAACCUACCUAUAAGACUGGGAUAACUUCGGGAAACCGGAGCUAAUACCGGAUAAUAUAUUGAACCGCAUGGUUCAAUAGUGAAAGACGGUUUUGCUGUCACUUAUAGAUGGAUCCGCGCCGCAUUAGCUAGUUGGUAAGGUAACGGCUUACCAAGGCAACGAUGCGUAGCCGACCUGAGAGGGUGAUCGGCCACACUGGAACUGAGACACGGUCCAGACUCCUACGGGAGGCAGCAGUAGGGAAUCUUCCGCAAUGGGCGAAAGCCUGACGGAGCAACGCCGCGUGAGUGAUGAAGGUCUUCGGAUCGUAAAACUCUGUUAUUAGGGAAGAACAAAUGUGUAAGUAACUAUGCACGUCUUGACGGUACCUAAUCAGAAAGCCACGGCUAACUACGUG
rnacentral:rRNA from 1 species